UACGGGGGGGGCAAGCGUUGUUCGGAAUUACUGGGCGUAAAGGGCUCGUAGGUGGCCAACUAAGUCAGACGUGAAAUCCCUCGGCUUAACCGGGGAACUGCGUCUGAUACUGGAUGGCUUGAGUUUGGGAGAGGGAUGCGGAAUUCCAGGUGUAGCGGUGAAAUGCGUAGAUAUCGGGAGGAACACCAGUGGCGAAGGCGGUUGCCUGGAGCUUUGCUGACGCUGAUGCGCGAAAGCGUGGGGAGCGAUCCGG
rnacentral:rRNA from 1 species